GAUGAACGCUAGCGGCAGGCUUAACACAUGCAAGUCGAGGGGUAGGGUAGCAAUACCUGAGACCGGCGCACGGGUGCGUAACGCGUAUGCAAUCUACCUUUUACAGGGGGAUAGCCCAGAGAAAUUUGGAUUAAUACCCCAUAGUAUAUAUCAUUCGCAUGUUUGAUAUAUUAAAGUUCCAACGGUAAAAGAUGAGCAUGCGUCCCAUUAGCUAGAUGGUAAGGUAACGGCUUACCAUGGCAACGAUGGGUAGGGGUCCUGAGAGGGAGAUCCCCCACACUGGUACUGAGACACGGACCAGACUCCUACGGGAGGCAGCAGUGAGGAAUAUUGGACAAUGGGCGCAAGCCUGAUCCAGCCAUGCCGCGUGCAGGAAGAAGCAUCUAUGGUGUGUAAACUGCUUUUGUACGGGAAGAAACACCUCUACGUGUAGAGGCUUGACGGUACCGUAAGAAUAAGGAUCGGCUAACUCCGUGCCAGCCGCCGCCGUAACAC
rnacentral:rRNA from 1 species